rnacentral:rRNA from 1 species
UCAGCGGCAGACGGGUGAUGUAACACGUAGGUGAUCUACCCCAGAGACGGGGAUAACGGGUGGAAACAUCCGCUAAUACCGGAUAGACUUGUUCGGUCAAAGGGACAAGGAAAGGCUCCGGCGCUCUGGGAGGAGCCUGCGGUCCAUCAGCUAGUUGGCGGGGUAACGGCCCACCAAUGCAAAGACGGGUAGGGGGUGUGAGAGCAUGGACCCCCACAAUGGGACUGGAACACGGCCCAUACUCCUACGGGAGGCAGCAGCAGGGAAUAUUGCACAAUGGACGGAAGUCUGAUGCAGCGACGCCGCGUGGAUGAAGAAGGCCCUCGGGUUGUAAAAUCCUUUACAGGGGGAAGAGGAAGGACGGUACCCCUGGAACAAGUGUCGGCUAACUACGUGCCAGCAGCCGCGGUAAGACGUAGGACACAAGCGUUAUCCGGAUUUACUGGGCGUAAAGCGUCUGCAGGCGGACAGGUAAGUCGGGCGUGACAGCUCCGGGCCCAACCCGGAGAGGUCGUCCAAUACUGCGUGUCUAGAGGGUGUCAGAGGGGAGUGGAAUUUCCGGAGUAGCGGUGAAUUGCGCAGAGAUCGGAAAGAACACCAAUGGCGAAGGCAGCUCCCUGGGGCAACCCUGACGCUAAGAGACGAAAGCUAGGGGAGCGAACAGGAUUAGAGACCCUGGUAGUCCUAGCCCUAAACGAUGGAUGCUGGAUGUGGGGCCAUAGCGCUCCGUGUCGAAGCGAACGCGUUAAGCAUCCCGGCUGGGGACUACGGUCGCCAGGUUUAAAAGUCUAACGAAUUGACGGGAACCCGCACAAGCAGCGGAGCGUGUGGUUUAAUUCGAUGCUACACGAAGAACCUUUACCUGGGUUUGACAUCUAGCUGGUAUUGAAGCGAAAGCGGAGCGACCCUUCGGGGAGCCUAGACAGGUGCUGCAUGGCUGUCGUCAGCUCGUGCCGUGAGAUGUCGGGUUAAGUCCCGUAACGAGCGCAACCCUUGCCCUCCGUUAUACGUGUCAGAGGGGACUGCCGGCGGUAAGCCGGAGGAAGGUGGGGAUGACGUCAAGUCAGCAUGGCCUGGAUAUCCAGGGCUACACACACGCUACAAUGGCCAGUACAAAGGGCAGCGAAGCCGCGAGGUGGAG